rnacentral:rRNA from 1 species
UAUGAAGGUCAGGCUGAAGACUUACCCCGAUUAGCUGAGAGGUGGUGCAUGGCCGUCGUCAGUUCGUACUGUGAAGCAUCCUGUUAAGUCAGGCAACGAGCGAGACCCACGUCCACAGUUGCCAGCAUACCCUCCGGGGUGAUGGGUACACUGUGGAGACCGCCGCUGCUAAAGCGGAGGAAGGAGUGGGCAACGGUAGGUCAGUAUGCCCCGAAUCUCCCGGGCUACACGCGGGCUACAAUGGUUGGUACAAUGGGCAUCUACCCCGAAAGGGGAAGGAAAUCUCUUAAAGCCAAUCGUAGUUCGGAUUGAGGGCUGCAACUCGCCCUCAUGAAGCUGGAAUCCGUAGUAAUCGCGUUUCAACAGAACGCGGUGAAUACGUCCCUGCUCCUU